rnacentral:lncRNA from 1 species
GCCAUGGUGAUGCUACCCAAGCGGGCCCUGGCUCCCCACCCACUCAACUGUGGGGCAGGCACCCAAGCAGCAGCUCUUGGGGCUGCUGGGGAUGGAGCGAGGAAGUUUCGCCCACGGCGUGACUGGCAGGGCCAGAUGCAAGGAGCCAGGAGCUUAGACUAUUUCAUCCCUAUAUAUGGAGAUGCGUGAUAAGAUGAAAAGACAGAGCCGCUCAUUCCGAAACUUAAGAGUAUAUCCCAUGGCCAGACCCAACCAUCUGCAAGGCACAAAGCACAGAGUGAAGACCGUAAUCGCUCCUGUCACCCAUGGCUGCUCUGAGGGUAAAUGCCUUAAAAGAGAUCUGAGGGCCCAGAACAGCAAUCGCCCAGGGUAAGUCCUAAAUAAAUCUGGCUAUUAGCAGAGCAUGGAUGUGCUAGGGGUGACACGGAAAAUAAACAGAGCAGACAGGAUCAUCCUGGACAGCAAAUAGAGGAUGUGGGGA